UAUUUAUUAUAACUAAUUUUAAAUAUUUUUUCAAUUAAUAUUUAUUAAAACUAUUUUUAAAUAUGUUUUUUUUUUAAUUUACAGGUCUACUGGUGAUCAGACUCGGUCUCGAUCUCGUCGUGCCUCACCACGAGGUCGUAGUGGUACGGGGAGCCACUCUCAGGGUUCGUCCAGCCACUCUCGGUGGUCGAGCAGCCACUGUCGGGAUUCUUCAUUUCCCGCUCCGGUUCUUGCUCCCGCUGCUGCACCCCUUCCCGUUGCUGCACCCCCUCCCGUUGCUGCACCCCCUCCCACUGCUGCACCCCCUCCCGCUCCUCCAGUCGUUCCGGGAGUGAUGACUGUUGCCCAGUUGGUUCAACAACCCGGUCGUGAGCAUCUUCUCUAUCUCACUCCGUUUCCAAAGGGACGACGUCAAACAUGGUAAUUAAAAGUCUUUUUUUUUUCCUUUCAUUAAAAUUUGAUUCAUUAUUAAUAAUUUGUUUCUUAUAUUAGGUUCAACCGAUCCGGGAACGGGAUCAGCGGAUGGAUCAACAAUAUUAUGUACUCGAACCUCAGCAAGGGAUAUCCGACUUUCACUCACUUCUCUGCCGAGGACCAGGAGAUGUGGUUUCGUCAGUUUGCGCAAGAGUUCACGUGGAAUCCCGAUCACACAAACUUUAUCCAUGACACCUUCGUCCAUAAAGUUAUGGACAACUAUGGGAAGCAGAUCUACGAGUAGAAGCAGAAGUGGCUCAUCAACCAGGUCCCGAAGUCGAUCAACAACACGGUCUGAGAGGAGUUGUGUGUGCAUUGGGAUAAUGACGAGACGAAAGCUACCUCCGUGACCAACUCCACCAGCCGCAAGAGCGAUCGUGGCGGGAAGGGCAUGUACAAGCACAAUUUGAGUGCCCAGACUAUUGUCACUCUGGGGGAUCGCUUGGUAAGUUCAAUCUCUUUUUUUUUUUAAUUAUUUAAGUAUUUUUAUUUUAUUUUUUAUGCAUUUCUUCUAAUUUCUAAUGUUUGUUUAACUUUUGUUUUUUCAAGGCGGAUGAAAAUGAUGGCCAGCCGGUUGAUGAUUUCGUUCUAAUGAAGACGGCGCAUACCAACAAGCACACCGGAGAGAUUGAUGAUGGUGUUGUGAGGGAUGUGCUCAGCCUGAUCGAAACUUAGAAGGAAGACGAAGAGACCCGUCUAUCUCAGCUUCAAACCGACCUGGACGCCACUUCGACGGCUUCGACUAACUUGUCCCGGAUUCGAACAACGAAAUCGUUGAAUCAGUAUGUUCUUUAUAAAAAAUUUCAAUUCAUUUAUUUCUUUAUUUUCAUUUUAUCAUCUUUUCUAUUAUUUAAAUUUGUUUAUUUUCUAUUUCAAUCGGUUCCAAAGAAGAAGGGACGUUUGAUCGGUUUGGGUCAUCGAGCCCGGUCGGUUCCUCCUUCUGCACCACAGUCCUAUGUUGAUCCAGAAGGGCUUAUAGACCAGUUGAAUGACAAAGAUGACCGCAUAGCUGUGUUGGAGCAAAAGAUGGCGGAUCAAGAGGUGGGAUGGGAGGCAACGAGGAAGCAGAACGAGCAAAUGAUGGAGAUGAUGAAGAGGAUGUACCCGAACGAGCAGUUCCCGUAGUUUCUUUCUUUUUUUUUCAAAAACUCUGAAUGUUUUAUUUU